CUGGUUCCAAUGGUCAGUGUGCUGGUUCCAACUGUCAGUGUGCCACAAUGCCUGUCAGAUCUGGUUGAGAGUGGUUCCUCUAUCCAGCUAGGACCUCCACAAAAGGGUAUCACAUAGCAUGAUAAGUUUGGAGUGUCACAACAUGAGGGAAGUAGAAAGAAGAUGUUGCAGAGCUUGAGGCUAUGUUGGGUGAGUUGGGGUGACUGUGAAAGAGGAGGGUAUAUUCUGGGUUGAGGGCUUCCAGAAAACAAAAAGUAACUUGAUGACUCAUCCUCACCUUUCAUUCAGAUGAGUGAAGAAAUGAACAAUAGUAAAGUUGCCACUCUUAAGUAAAUAUAGGACACAGGAAAUGAUUACUUGAAUUAUUUUUAUUCUGGCAUGCAAAGUACACUGAUAUGUUUUUAAA